rnacentral:rRNA from 1 species
CGAAGUUAGAGAGAGCUUGCUUUUUCUGACUUAGUGGCGAACGGGUGAGUAACGCGUGAGGAACCUGCCUCAAAGAGGGGGACAACAGUUGGAAACGACUGCUAAUACCGCAUAAGCCCACAGCUCCGCAUGGAGCAGGGGGAAAAGGAGCAAUCCGCUUUGAGAUGGCCUCGCGUCCGAUUAGCUAGUUGGUGAGGUAACGGCCCACCAAGGCGACGAUCGGUAGCCGGACUGAGAGGUUGAUCGGCCACAUUGGGACUGAGACACGGCCCAGACUCCUACGGGAGGCAGCAGUGGGGAAUAUUGCACAAUGGGGGAAACCCUGAUGCAGCGACGCCGCGUGGAGGAAGAAGGUCUUCGGAUUGUAAACUCCUGUUGUUGGGGAAGAUAAUGACGGUACCUAACAAGGAAGUGACGGCUAACUACGUGCCAGCAGCCGCGGUAAAACGUAGGUCACAAGCGUUGUCCGG